rnacentral:rRNA from 1 species
UACAGAGGUCUCAAGCGUUGUUCGGAUUCAUUGGGCGUAAAGGGUGCGUAGGCGGCGCGGUAAGUCGGGUGUGAAAUCUCGGAGCUUAACUCCGAAACUGCAUUCGAUACUGCCGUGCUUGAGGACUGGAGAGGAGACUGGAAUUUACGGUGUAGCGGUGAAAUGCGUAGAUAUCGAAAGGAAGACCAGUGGCGAAGGCGGGUCUCUGGACAGUUCCUGACGCUGAGGCACGAAGGUCAGGGGAGCAAACGGG